UGCUAUUUUAUGCUCCACCCCUGAGUGUCCUAAUUCUAGCCUCUCCAGGCUUCAGUUUCCCCAUUCUGGAAUGGGGUGUGCUCUCGAGGAGGCCAUGGCAGGGGACUGAAAAGGUAAACAGUCUACCAUAGACCCAGGAGAAAUGUAUAGCACCUUUUAGGAUGAGCCUAGGUAGGGUCACAGACUACACUGGUGGGCACAUUUUGGGGUUUGGAAUGGGAAAGCCUCUAAGAAGAUGGGACAGAAAAACCAAAGUGGGCCUGGCAAGACAAACCAAGCAGGCCUGGCAAUGCCUGUCUGCAAAGGGAGAAGCUAUCCAGGAAGGCCCACUCCUCUCACCACACACAGAUCUCUAAUUACAAAGGUUAAGAAUCCCUGCCUGUAAACUAAGCAGAAGUUCUGAACACAAGAGAUGACAGCAGCCUGGGGAAUGGUGAAUUAGCUGGAGUCCUUGUACCCUGAGUUCCUGGAUCCAGGCUUGGAGAAGUAGUGUCAGAGACAAAUUGCAGUUAUAUAUUUUCUCAAGCCCUAGGAGAGGAGCAUAACCAACUCCUGAGCCCCAGCCUUCCAGAAGCAGAAUGGCUCCUGAGUAGUACGAGUCUCUGUUACUUCUUAAGCAACCUCAAAUUAAAUAUUUCUCAGAUGUUGUCUUCUAAAAAAGAGAAGGGGGAUUGCCUGGACUACACCAGCCUCUCUGGAGGAAGAAAAUUAAAUAUAUAGCCUUGAAAGCUACAGGAGUGCUAAAGGACUGAGCCACAAGAUGAAUGAGCAGAAGACUAAGACUUUUUCCUCUACUACUACUAUGAGUCACUUGCAUAAUGCAGGUCCGAAAGGACCCCAAGUUCACUUCCCUUCUGAGGGGAGUCAGAACCACAGGGUAGUACUAUGAGUCUGGUGGACUCUGGAAGGUCCUGAGUAGGGACUGAAAUAUUAGACAACUCUAUCAAAUGUUUAUGGGCUACUGUGAGUAACCUUCAUAUGUUGUUGGGGUUUUUUUCUUGUUUGUUUGUUUGUUUUUGUUUUUUUUGAAAUUUCAAAUUUGAAUUUGAAAUAAAGGCAGUCUUGUAC
rnacentral:lncRNA from 1 species